rnacentral:rRNA from 1 species
UACGUAGGGGGCUAGCGUUGUCCGGAAUCAUUGGGCGUAAAGCGCGCGUAGGCGGCCCGGUAAGUCCGCUGUGAAAGUCAAAGGCUCAACCUUUGAAUGUCAGCGGAUACUGCCGGGCUAGAGUCCGGAAGAGGCGAGUGGAAUUCCUGGUGUAGCGGUGAAAUGCGCAGAUAUCAGGAGGAACACCAAUUGCGAAGGCAGCUCGCUGGGACGUUACUGACGCUGAGACGCGAAAGCGUGGGGAGCAAACAGG